rnacentral:rRNA from 1 species
UGGGGAAUAUUGCACAAUGGGCGCAAGCCUGAUGCAGCCAUGCCGCGUGUAUGAAGAAGGCCUUCGGGUUGUAAAGUACUUUCAGCGGGGAGGAAGGCGAUAAGGUUAAUAACCUUGUCGAUUGACGUUACCCGCAGAAGAAGCACCGGCCAACUCCGUGCCAGCAGCCGCGGUAAUACGGAGGGUGCAAGCGUUAAUCGGAAUUACUGGGCGUAAAGCGCACGCAGGCGGUCUGUCAAGUCGGAUGUGAAAUCCCCGGGCUCAACCUGGGAACUGCAUUCGAAACUGGCAGGCUAGAGUCUUGUAGAGGGGGGUAGAAUUCCAGGUGUAGCGGUGAAAUGCGUAGAGAUCUGGAGGAAUACCGGUGGCGAAGGCGGCCCCCUGGACAAAGACUGACGCUCAGGUGCGAAAGCGUGGGGAGCAAACA